rnacentral:sRNA from 19 species
GUCAACACCCCUGCCUAAAGGCUAUUGGCUCUCUAGCCUCAGUUUUUAGGAUUAGUUGACCCGACGCGCGUACCUCGUGUACUACGUUAUUGGCAAGUGUUCAAGUUCUCACUCCGGGAUACGUGAUGCCAGUCUCGGACUCUGAA